UGACGCAGGAAGUUUGAAUCUACAGUAGGUAACUUGACUUGAAGGAGAUCGCGCGAAAAGGUUAUUACGUGUAAUUACGGAAGGAAUUCAGGCUACAAACGGUUGCUCUGCAUAACAAUUUGUAGUAAUUAAUAAGUGCCUAGCUGGAAUGGGAACAAGCUCUUACGGUGUUUAUGAAGAAAGAUGUGAAGAAAGGAAUAUUUAUGCUCAAAACAAGGCUGACGGCUGAACGUAAAUAAAGGCUUCUGAAACAUC